rnacentral:lncRNA from 1 species
AUUUAUGCUUCAAGGUUGUUGUGCAGAAUAGUAUACAUUGUGCAGGACUGCAGGUAAUUCAUCGAGGCGUACGAGUUAGUAAUUGAGUUAAUCAAUGAUUCUUUCAAAUAUAUGAAGGUGUCUACCCAAGGAUGUGUCUUAGUGGUCAAUGAAGUGCGUUGACAACAAUGAAGUCUCAAGUUCAAAUCCCAGUGGAGGCAAAAAUACUAGAUGGUUUUCUUCCUUUCUGUCCAAGCCUUAGUGCACAGUAUUACUUAGUACCUGAAUUAGUGACUGGUCGAAUUCAUCUCCUAGAAUUAGUCGAGGUGCGUAAAAAAGCAAUAUAUUUAUUUGAUUGGAUGAAAAACUAUAAAGCUCAUCUUAUAUAGCUUCUUUGCUUCAAAAUGGGAAGAAAAUCAUGGAAAUAAAAACUUUAGCUCUAUCCUGCCUCAUGCUUUGAUUGAUGUAUUGGCUAUAAAGGACUAACCAGGCAUACAGAACUCAGGAUUUACACAAGUUUUCUUACUCUGCAUGAUAGCCACUGCAUAAAAAUCUAACAAGUUUCUUACAUCGCAUUUCUCAGCUCUACUAGGAUCCACAUAUCAUCAAAUCAGAAGACACGUAAAUUACCAGGAUCAGCAUGU